rnacentral:ncRNA from 1 species
CGGAUGCGGGCGAGGGGUGUUACACAUAACCUCGGGAAAAGGAUUGGCUCUUAGGGUUGGGCACGAGGGUCCUAGUCCCGAACUUAUUGGCUGUCGUUGCACUACUCGAGCUGUACCCAGGUGAAAGCAGUUCACCAUGUGCCGGUUGGGGGACAGAUAGGGAACAGCUCUAUUGGGGGCUUUCCCCAGAUGACGAACAGUCGACUCAGAACUGGAACAGAUAAGGGGAAUCUGAUUGUUUUAGUAAAACAAAGCAUUGCGAUGGUCCUUGUGGAUGCUCACGCAAUGUAAUUUCUGCCCAGUGUUCUGAAUGUCAAAGUGAAGAAAUUCAACCUAGCGCAGGUAAACGGUGGGACUAACUAUGACUCUCUUAAGGUAGCCAAAUGCCUCGUCAUCUAAUUAAUGAUGUAUAUGAAUGGAUUAACGAGAUUUUCACUAUCCCUAUCUACUAUCCAGCAAAACCACGGCCAAAGGAAUAGGCUUGGCAGAAUCAGUGGGGAAAGAAGACCCUAUUGAGCUUGACUUUAGUCUGACUUUGUGAAAUGACUUGAGAGGUGUAGGAUAAGUUGGACCUCUCGGGCGAAAUUGAAAUACCACUACUUUUAAUGUUAUUUUACAUAAUCCUUGAAUCGAGGCAGGGUACGACCCCUUUUUUUCGACCCAAGGCUGGCUUCGGCCGAUUGAUCUGAGUGAAAGACAUUGUCAGGUUGGGAGUUUGGCUGGGGCGGAACAUCUGUUAAAAGAUAAAGUAGGGUCCUAAGAUGAGCUCAACGAGAAAAGAAAUCGUGUGUGGAACAAAAGGGUAAAAAAUCGUUUCAGUCUGAUUUCCAGUAUGAAUAGAAACUGUGAAAGCAUGGCCUAUCGAUCAUUUAAACCUUCGGAAUUUGAAGCUAGAGGUGUCAAAAAAGUUACCAUAGGGAUAACUGGCUUGUGGCGGCCAAGCGUUCAUAGCAAUGUUGCUUUUUGAUCCUUCGAUGCCGGCUCUUCCUAUUAUUGUGAAGCAGAAUUCACCAAGUGUUGGAUUGCUUACCCACCAAUAGAGAACGUGAUUUGGGUUUAGACCGUCAUGAGACAGGUUAGUUUUACCCUACUGAUGGCCACGUCGCAAUCAACCUAGUACAAGAGGAAUCGUUGAUUCGCACAAUUGAUAAUCGCGCUUGGUUGAAAAGCCAGUGGCUCGAAGCUACCGUACGCUAGAUUAUGACUAAACGCCUCUGAGUCAGAAUCUGGGCUAGAACUGACGCACACACCUGUCGCUUGAUUGCUGUCCCGCAGUAGGGGCCUCUAGCUGCCAAGGGCAUGUGUCGUAGGUGCAGCAAUUACCGCGGACAAGUCGCGGGUGCCUCCUUGGAGCGUAAUUCCCACCGAACGAUGGGUAGAAUCCUUUGCAGAUGACUUAAAUACACGACGGGUUAUUGUAACUGGUAGAGUGGCCUUGCUGCCACGAUCCACUGAGAUUCAACCCUUUGUCGCUUCGAUUC